AGAAAAGUAUUUAAAUAAAUAAAAUCCAAUUUGCAAUUAGAAAUUGAAUUGCUCCUUUUCUG
rnacentral:tRNA from 1 species